AAACUUCUCUCUCUAGAUUUGACCAGCAAAGGUUCCCUCUUGAAAACUUGAAUUUUAGCCAUGGAGAAUGAAAAAGAAUGCAUGGGAAAGGUAGAUCACAAGCUAAAAUUAAAAAAUCUUACCUUUACUUGCUUGAUUCCUUGAAAUCCAACAAUUUCUCUUGAAUUUUUCCUUCCUAGGGUUUGUUCUUCUCUUUUUCUCUUUGUUCCCUUGCUU
rnacentral:lncRNA from 1 species